CUUUGUUCUGUGUUAUUGAAACCUCCAAUCUCUCCUGACCAUACUUUGUGAAUCCAUGACUGUGUCACUUUUCUCCAUUUCAACUCAACUACGGCUACCAACCAGAUUCGUUACCUGGUCUACCUAUAACCACCCCUGUACCAGAGGCAAUUGAAUGAUUGCAGUUUAUCACAUAGGGGUUUGAACCUGCACAAAAAAAUUUGAACAGUUAACAAUUGUAUAAACGGCAUGCUGGUCGCAAAAGGGGGCCUACUCCAUCCUAGGUUGGUCAAUCCAUUUGGUUGUUGUGACGAGACCAAUCUCGCUACUGUGCAUUGGAGGAGCCUGGUUGCCCGCCUGCUGCCUUUAGACUAUGGCCCCAUGUUGAAACGCUUGAUUUUCCCCUGCGAUGACACGAAAGCCGGGUCAUUCCGUGCUGGCCGUGUUUGAGCGGUGAUACCCCAGAUAGCUAUGCCAU